rnacentral:rRNA from 1 species
CCUACGGGCGGCAGCAGUGGGGAAUAUUGGACAAUGGGGGCAACCCUGAUCCAGCCAUGCCGCGUGUGUGAAGAAGGCCCUCGGGUUGUAAAGCACUUUCAGUGAGGAAGAACGCCUGGUGGUUAAUACCCAUCAGGAAAGACAUCACUCACAGAAGAAGCACCGGCUAACUCCGUGCCAGCAGCCGCGGUAAUACGGAGGGUGCGAGCGUUAAUCGGAAUUACUGGGCGUAAAGCGCGCGUAGGUGGCUUGAUAAGCCGGUUGUGAAAGCCCCGGGCUCAACCUGGGAACGGCAUCCGGAACUGUCAAGGUAGAGUGCAGGAGAGGAAGGUAGAAUUCCCGGUGUAGCGGUGAAAUGCGUAGAGAUCGGGAGGAAUACCAGUGGCGAAGGCGGCCUUCUGGACUGACACUGACACUGAGGUGCGAAAGCGUGGGUAGCAAACAGGAUUAGAUACCCGAGUAGUC